rnacentral:rRNA from 1 species
UACGAACCGUGCGAACGUUGUUCGGAAUCACUGGGUUUAAAGGGCGCGUAGGCGGGCUGUCAAGUCGGUGGUGAAAUCUUUCGGCUCAACCGGAAAAUCGCCUUCGAUACUGGCGGCCUUGAGGGAGGUAGGGGCAUGCGGAACUUCCGGUGGAGCGGUGAAAUGCGUAGAUAUCGGAAGGAACACCGAUGGCGAAAGCAGCGUGCUGGACCUUUUCUGACGCUGAGGCGCGAAGGCCAGGGGAGCAAACGGG